rnacentral:tRNA from 1 species
UGCCGCGUAGCCAAGCUGGGAAGGCGCUCGGCUUUGAUCCGAGAGAUCGUGGGUUCGAAUCCUACCGCGGCAA